UAUUUUCACCAUUCACUACGAUCUUGUGAGUUCUCAAUAUUCAAUUAUCAAUCGAUGCUUCAAUUUUUUGUUUGACGAAAAUACCCCAAUACAAUUCAGAUAUUUUUAGAUUCACCAAUACCAUAGUUGCAUGCACUUUUUAGUCAUUUCACUUAUCUAAUGACGGUCACAUUCUUCGACUACCAAAAAAUGGGCAUGUAACGCAAAGGUCACAAAAAAUAGUGAGUUUAAUCAACAAAAAUACUAAAAUUAAUAAACGUAAAAAAUGAAAAAUGGAAAGAAAUCGCGGAAAAAUAAAAGAUGAACACUGGAUUUUUCGCCCUAAGGCAAGAGGUUUAGAACUUCGUUCAUAAUCCCCUUAUGAGCUUCCGUCAAAACAGAAAAAAUCACUAUAUCAACGAAUCAAUGAAGCUGUCCAAAUUGCACAUCUCGUAGCACUCAGAAUAUCACUCAAGAUUAUUCAACAUAAGCCUCACUAAUUGAUACAGCCAUUCACUCAAGAAUAGAUGAAGAUAAUCUGUACAAAUCACUCAAGAUUAUACAAUUUUGGGGCUCAUAUCGAAGGAAGCUUUCUUGGACAGAUUUUUUAGAUCGAAAGAAGGAGAAUAAUCUCUUGAGAGAGAUGAAGCGGCAAACUGAGAGAGAGAGAGAGUGAAAAUUCCAGAUUCUAGCACCAUCCAGGAACCCUAACGAGGGUUAAGUAGAAGACCCUAGAAGUCUUGCAAUCCAACGAUGAGUAAUACAACACUUGGCAAGAUCAUAACCAUUGCUUCAAUUGUAUAGAAAGCAUGUUUUAAUAACACGAUUUUUGCCAACAUUAAGUAAACCAUUUAUCUCUUGGACUAACUGGCCCAGCAGCUUAGAAGAAGUAUUAAGUCAGCCCAACAUCAUUGUGCCACAUUUCUUCACAUUCUCCACCUUGGUACAAUGAUUCUAGUUUCAUCUAUAGUGAUUUCUCCAGUUUUUGACAUCAUUUGCUCUUAUUCCUGAUACACAAAUCAGCAAGAAUUAAUAUUCAACUGUUUUAAACAGUCCAAACACUUGUUUAAAGGCAGCACUUUGGUUCUAAUAUCAGCAGGAUUAAAUUGUAUAGAAAUCUUUUCAAGUUUAACAACACCUUGAGAAAUUACAUCUCUAAUAAAAUGAAAUUUCACAUCAACAUGUUUUGAUCUAUUAUGAAGCACAAGAUUUCUACUCAAAUAUAUAGCGGAUUGGCUAUCAAAAUGCAAGACAACAUCAUUUAUGAAACCAAAUUCAUUUAAAAGUCAUUUUAGCCAAAUUCCUUCUUUAAUUGCAUCAGUUGCAGCUAUAUAUUCUGUUUUCGUUGAAAAUAAAGCAACAAUCUUUUGUAAUUGUGAUUUUCAGCUUAUACAGGAAUUACAUAAAGUGUACACAUAGGCAGAAGUUGAUUUUCUGUUGUCCCUAUCACCUACAUAAUCAGAAUUUGUGUAACUCCUAAAGAUAACACCUUCAGAUUGCUUUUUAUACUCAAUUCCUAGGUCACAAGUUCCUUUUAUAUAUCUUAGAAGCCACUUCAUAGCUUCCCAAUGAACCUCACUAGGAUUGGACAUGUAUCUACUCAAUAUACUUAUUGCAAAUGCCAAAUCAGGCCUAGAACAAAUCCUUAGAUAUAUAACUGAUCCCACAGCAUUAGAAUAUGGUACUCUAGCCAUUCUUUUGAACUUUUCUUUAGUUUUGGGAGAUUGUUCAUUAGAUAAUUUGAAGUAUUUUCAAAGCAUAAGAAUUUUUAUUUAGACUCAUUAUGUCCUUUCUCUCUUUUUUUUUUAAUUUCGAUACCCAAAAUUUUUCUAACAAAACCUAAGUCCUUCAUUUCAAAUUCAGAUUUUAGUUUGUCUUUAAUUAACUCUAUUUCCUUUAUGUCAUGACUAGCCAAAAUCAUGUCGUCCAUAUAAAGUAAAAGAUAGAGUGAAUUCUCACCUCCGUUUCCUUUACAAUAAAAACAAGUAUCGAAAUUACUUCUUUUAAAACCAAGUCCAAGUGCAAAAGUGUCAAAUCUCUUAUACCAUUGUCUUGGAGUUUGUUUUAAACCAUAAAGUGACUUUUUAAGAAGGCAUACUAAGUCAGAAUUUUUAUUCACUUCAAAACCUUUUGAUUGUUCCAUAAAAAUGGUUUAUUCAAGAUCUACAUUUAAAAAUGUAGUUUUUACAUCUAAUCGAUCCAAUUCCCAAUUAAAUUGAGCUGCAAAGGCAAGUAUGACUCUUAACGAUUGUAAAUUUUACAACGAGGGAAAAUAUUUCAUUAAAGUCUAUCCCCUCCUAUUGAGCAAAACUCUUAGCCACAAGUCUUGCUUUAUAUCUAACGUCUUUCUCAUCUUUUUCACCUCUUUUGAUCUUAUAGAUCCACUUGUAAUCUAUAACUCUCUUUCCCUUAGGUCUCUUGACUAAGGUCCAAGUUUUAUUCUUCCUCAAAAAUUCCAUCUCAUCAUGCAUUGAUGCAAGCCAAUGCUUAGAGUUCUUACUACUCAUAGCAUCUUUAUAGGACUCGGGUUCAUUCUCAAUGAACCCCUAAACAGUAAGAAGGGACAUUUCAUCAUCAAACCUCACAAGUGGUCUUAUUUGUUUCCUUUCUCUAUCUUUGCAAGUUGAUAAUCAUUUAAGGGUUGAUUUACUUCAAAAUCAGAUUCAUUCAGAUCAGUUUCAUUGAUAUUUUGAACCUCAAUUUCACUAUUUCCACUCUGAUCAGGUUGUAGAUUAUUAUUAUUAACUUGCUCCACCUUAAUUUCACUUUCCCUUCUUUCAUUUUCAGUCUGACCAAAUUCAGUUGUGUUAUUUUCAGAUUUCAAACAAGGUAUAUUAGAUUCAUUAAACACCACAUUUCUACUCAAAAUGAUCUUAUAGCCUUUGGUCUCUUUUACCCAAAGUCCAUACCCCUUCACCAUAGCCCAAGAAAACACACUUUAGGGCUUUAGGUUCAAGUUUUCCUUCAGAUUGGUUUGCAAAUGCUGCACAACCAAAUAUUUUUAGAUUUCUCAAAUCUACAAAUUUUUCUGUCCAAACUUCUUCAAGUGAUUUGAAUUGUAUAGCAUUAGCAAGGCUUCUAUUUAUGAGAUAAUUAGCAGUUUUUGCAGCUUCUCCCCAAAAUAACUUGGGAAGACCAAACCUAGUAAGAUACAUCUAACUCUUUUAAGAAUAGUUCGGUUCAUUCUUUCAGCCAAGCCAUUUUGUUGUGGGGUGUGUGUCACUGUUCUGUGUCUUAGAAUAUCAUACUCUUUGCACAAUUCAUCAAAUUUAUAAUUGCAAAAUUCAAGCCCGUUAUCAGUCCUCAACACUUUAAUCUUUUUAUUUGUUUGAUUUUCAAUCAAGAUUUUCCAUAUUUUAAAAGCAUUAAAAAUAUCAGACUUAUGUUUAAGUAGAAAGAGCCAAUUUUUCCAAAAAAAUCAUCUAUGAUUAAAAGGAAAAAUCUGAAACCAGUAUAUGUGGGCAUAGAAGCUGGUCCCCAAAUAUCAGCAUGCAAGUACUCAAUAAUAGACACAGAUUUAUGCAUCCCAGUAAAAAAUGGUAGUCUAUUUUGCUUUCCUAGUAAGCAAUGAUCACAAAAACUGAGUUUCUCAAUUAUAUCUUUACCAAAGGCACCUUAUUUUUUUAAAAUUUGCAAGCCUCUGUCACUAUGUGGCCCAAUCUUUUAUGCCAUAGUUGUGACUUAUCAUUGGGGGCAGAAAUUGUUGCUGGUGUGGAGUCAAAAAAGUAUUGAGCGUGUAAAAUGUAAGGUCUAUGUCUCUUGGGGGCUUCGGCAACAAGUUGAGAGCCACUCAAGAUUUUAAUGUAUCCCUUGUUGAUCACAAUAUUAUAGUUCAGGUCAUCUAGGACACCUGAGGAUAUGAGAUUUCUUUGUAGGUUAGGAACAUACUUGAUUUUUUCUAAAGUCAAUUCAGUAUUAUCGUCAAACCUUAAGGUGAUUGUUCCCGUUCCUUUUACCUGGCAAGACAUGUGAUUACCCAUUAACACUUGGCCUCCAUUUACAUUUUCAAACGCAAUAAAUCACUCUCUUUUAGGACAAAUGUGAAAGGUGCAACUAAAGUCAAGGAUUCACUUCUGACUAGGUGUACUGUGUGUAGCAACAUAAACCUCAUCUAUGUUGUACUCAUUUUUAUAAGUCAAUGCAGCACCACCAUCAUUAUUAGACUUAUUUUUCAAAUCAUUAAGUCUCUUAUGGCAAUCUUUAAUAAAAUGACCUUUACUUAGACAAUAAAAAUAUUUUUUACCCUUAGUCUUGUUUUUCAUUUUAUCUUUAAAGUUUACCUUCUUCUUCUGUCCAGGUUUCUUAUUAAAAUUGGCCGUCUUGGAUUAGGAUUAGGUUUGGACUUAAUCAUCAAAUUUUCACCACUAACAGAUUCUCUCUUUUCAUAUUUUAACUCUAACUCUUUGUUUCUCAAUGCAUUUAUUAUCACGUCAGUAGUUAGAGUCUCCCUUCCAUAUUCAAUAGCAUUUUUAACAUCUCUAUAUUUAUCACUUAUUGAAUUUAACAAAAUCACAGCCAACUGAUCUUUUGAAAGUUUCUGAUCACAAUCGGCUAGGUCACGGGAUAAUCUGUUGAAUCUAUCAAUAUUUGCCUCAAGAUCAAGAGAUAUGUCCAAUUUGAAACCAAAAAAUUGUUUUAGAGGUUACACUUUAUUAGGCAUGGUUUUAUUCAAAUAAGUAUCUUCUAAUUUCUUCCACAACUCAGCAACAGUUCUUGUCUCACCAAUCUCUCUUAACACACUAUCAGACAAAUGCAAGAAUAGAAAACUCCGUGCAAUUUCAUCAAGUUCAGUUUUCUCCAUUUCUUCCAUAUCAUCAGGCAAUGACACAUCAAUGGCUUUUGCACAUUUUUGUUGAAGUAAAAGAGCUCGCAUUUUCUGGUGCUAGAGACUAAAAUCUCCUUUACCAUUAAAGAUUUUCAAUUCAACUUUAGUUGACAUAAUCAAAACACAAUUUGAUUUUUGACAGUGCAGGCAGAUCACAUAAGUUUUGAACAAUAUCUACAACAUUUGAUUAUUAUUAUGAGAAUUAAUCCUAGCAGUAUCUUAAAUGUCAUACACAAUAAUCAAUAUAAAGUGUACAACCAGCAAGUUGUAUGUCACAAAUUAUUCAACAGUAACACUCAGCAGUUCAUUCAAUUUCCAAAUAAGCAGUUUACUCAAAAAACAACAAAUUAUCAAUUCACAGUAAUAUAAUGACAGCAUCCUUUAUACUUUUUAUUCAUGAUACUUGCAAGAAUCAUAAAAAGAAUAUUAAACCAUUGACCUUUACUCGAGAUAGCCCUCAGAUUCCAAACAAAUCACGGUUUCUGGACUAAGGCACUAUUAAGAAGUCUUCGAUUUAUUAAUUUUUACCACAAUUGCAAGGGUCACAGGAUAUAGUCAGGUAAGGUAUACUAUAACUUGAAGAUAAAUGAAACGAACUCACCAAAAAACCCUUAUUAGGGUUUUAAGGAGCAAUCGAAAUUUACUGAACCAGUUCGAAUACUCUUCGAAUCUGUCGACACUAGUACCAAAAACCCCCGUCACGAGCUCUAAUACCACUUUAACACGAAGUUCACAAAAAAACAGCGAGUUUAAUCAACAAAAAUACCGAAACUAAUAAACGUAAAAAAUGGAAAAUGGAAAGAAAUCGCAGAAAAAUAAAAGAUGAACACAGGAUUUUUCGUCCUAAGGCAAGAGGUUCGGAACAUCAUUCCUAAUCCCUUUUUGAGCUUUCGUCAAACAGGAAGAAAUCACUAUAUCAACGAAUCAAUGAAGCUAUCCAGAUUGUACAUCUCGUAGCACUCAGAAUAUCACUCAAGAUUAUUCAACAUAAGUCUCACUAAUCGAUACAGCCAUUCACUCAAGAAUAAAUGAAGAUAAUCUAUACAAAUCACUCAAGAUUAUACAAUUUUGGGGCUCAUAUCGAAGGAAGCUUUCUUGGACAGAUUCUUUAGAUCGAAAGAAAGAGAAUCAUCUCUUGAGAGAGAUGAAGCGGCGGAAUGAGAGAGAGUGUGAAAAAUUUAGAUUCUAGCACCGUCUAGGAACCCUAAUGAGGGUUAAGUAGAAGACCUUAGAAGUCUUGCAAUCCAACGAUGAGUAAUACGAUACUUGGCAAGAUUAUAACCAUUGCUUCAAUUGUAUAGAAAGCGUGUUUUAAUAACACGAUUUUUGCCAACAUUAAGUAUACCAUUUAUCUUUUGGACUAACCUGCCCAGCAGAAGUAUUAAGUCAGCCCAACAUCAUUGUGCCACAUUUCUUCACGGGGUAACUUUUUUCAAUGUAAAUUGUCAAAGUCAGAGGAACACAAGAAGAUUGAUUAUAGAAUGAUUUUGGAGUCAGUAGAGGGGUAUUUUGGUUAAUUCAUGGUUGUUGAUGCUCUGUAAUCGGCGGCAUGUUUUCGUGGCAAUUUGGAGAAGUUUAUUUAGUGGUUGAGUGCUUAGUCUUUUUCCAAUUAUGGGGACACAAAGUAUUAUAGGUUGCAUUGUGAUUUUGUAAAUAAUUAACCGACUUCAAGUUUGUUAAGAAUAAUGUUUAUUCCUUCGUUCUUAGGAUUAAAUUAUCUUUUAAUGCAGUGAAAUUUGAAGAAUACCAGCUUUAUCUUUUCUUUUUGGGUAAAAGGACUCAAUAUGAUGUUAUUUGCUGUGAUAUAUGUGCUUGAUAGAGUGUUAUGAGAGUUCUUUUUCUAUGAAUUUGGGUCUCUUUUAACUUGUGAGUCCCAGUAGAUUUGGUUAUAUGUUAUUAGUGUAGUUUAUUUUAAAUUUUGAAGUAGUUUAAACCUUUUGUUGUUUAUAGCUUUAUAUUAAAUUUGAGGCAUUGAGGUUUUAAAUUUUACUCUUUGUGGUCCAUUGAAUAAAUAUGACAGAAUAAAUUAUUGCAUCUUGCUUAUUUGAGUUUUGAUUAAAUAAGUUCAAUGCCAUGGGGGCGUUGAAACUGUAGUGUAAUACUAAAUGCCAAAAUAUAUGACAAGUCCGUGUAGUAUGCAUGCAUUUAAGUUUAUGUUUAUUAAAGAAAAUAACCUUGGAUAAAACAUUUUGUGAUGAGAGAAAGAUGGAUGAUAUCCUCUUGAUGCUAUCUACACUGUAAAUGUUAAUGCUUCAUACUUGGAUGAGAUAGUAUGAUAUUUGAUCCAUUUUGUUUACAAGUUGGUGUGUACGUUUUGUUGUAGUUCUUCUAUUUUUUUUUAUGGUGCAGUUGGGCCAUCCCAUAUAUGAUAGAGACCAACAAAUGGAACCAGCUUAAUAUUAUUGAACUUGGAGGAAGACUUACCUUGGCACUGAAGCCAACUUAUUGUUUCUAGAUUCUCCAAUUGGCGUUGGAUUUUCAUACUCAAGCAUGAGUGGUGAUUAUGAUAUUCUUGGAGAUGACUUUGCCGCCGAUGAUUCCUAUGUUUUCCUACGCAAGAGGUUCCUUAAGUUUCCAUCAUACACGAUGAGGAAAUUUUAUAUUGCUAAGGAGAAUUAUAAAGGCGGAUAUGUUCCUGAGCUGGCUGAACUCAUUCAUUACGGGAACAAAGAUCCCUCUUUAUUGAUAGAUCUUAAAGGCAUUAUGGUGUAAUUCGGUUCCCAUUUAAUUCAAGGACUGAGUUUCAAGAUUAGUGCCAGGACCCUAAGAUUUUAAAUGGAGCAAAUGAUCACAGACGGACGUUCAAUGCUAACUGAUAAUUUUAUUGCAGCUGGCCAAUUGCAAAACAUGUGACAUAGAGGUACUUGACACUUAUCAGGGACAGACUGUGCUUCUUGAUGAGAGGUGGUAUGUUUGAUUGGAUUUAUGGUGACAAUUCAUUGGCUAAUGAUGCAUAAUAUUAUAACUGGGUAUUUGCUGAAGCGGAGCAUGGAAAACUAACUUUUCCAGAGAGAAGCACAACCAUUCUAGAGAAGAGUUGCCAGUACUUUUACUACUUUCUUCAGUAGGGAUGGAGGGAGUUGUAUAUAAGUAAGCACAACGAGAUAGUUGCAAAGGCAUAUUUGGUAAUGAAUAAUGUAGAAAACGCUUUAGCUUAUCAGUCAGUUAAAGUAGGGAAUUAUUUGAAACUGGUUGAAUUCAUGAAGUUGAGGCAAUUUGGAUUCAAAGAUGUACAAGUGUUCUUUGUCAAACCAAAGCUCAAUUUGGUUGGCUUGCACUGCUAAAUCAUAUAGCUUCACCUGCUGGUUAUUUGAUGGUGUACUAUGGUGUGCGUAGAUGGUUCCGUGCUGCAAAUCUUUAACUGCAUAAAGCAGCAUAGCUUGCAAGGAUUCAAUGACUUCCGACGAAAACCUACAGCAACAGCUUGGAAGAGCGUAGGCUAUUAUGCAGCAUACGCAGCUACACAUAAGCUUCGGUUACCUGGAAAAGGGUCGAGGGUCCAAUAGCUUCUGCUAGAAUUUGGCCUAUAUACAAGGUACUAAGGUUUGCCGAUCUCCCUUUCUGUCUGCAUGCAUCAAUCUUCAGGAGUAAAAUGCUUGACUAGGCCAUUAUUUAAGUGGAUUUUGUAGUGUCAGGACUUACAUUAGGACUGCAGUUAACUUCGUGCUUACAUCGGUUUUCAUUAAAAUAUGCAUUUUCACUUGCUCAUUGCAGGCAAAUGUUGUUGCAUGAUAUGCAGUAACAUUGAUUACAUAUCUUGUGUUUGAUAGUAAGAUUUUUUUUAACAAAAUUUGCUCAAAUUGGCAUGUACACUCUGCUUGAUAUUGCUGGCUUUUUUUAUUUUGGAGUUAAUUUGAAGGUAUGGAGUAUGAUGACUAAAAUUGUUAGCCCUUACUUGAAUCCAGUUCUUUAAUAUUCAUUUUUCUCAAACUUAUUUUAAGAAUAAUUUUGUAUGUACAAUCAAAAUACUUUCCUAUAUUUUCUUUUCAUUUUUACUUUACUUAUUUUUAAAUCUGUUCAUUUUCUUUUAAACCUACCUCUUUUUACACCAAAAAUUGAUUACAAAAUGCUAGAAAUUCUCCCUCCUUUACCUGGGGAUUUUUAAAAAAUCGUGGACUGCCAUUCGGUAUAGAAACAAUUUUACUCAAUCUGCUUCCUGUCAUUUGAAUCAGAACAAAUCACAAUCUAUGUUUAUCAAUCAGUGAAUAAUGGUAGAAGUUUAUUUUAUACUUCUUGAGUCUCACAAACUUGUGCUUUUGCUUUAAUUUCAGGUUUCUUGUGGUAUAUAUUUGUGAAAGUUUCAGUUUAGUAUAGGCGUGACCAUUAUGCGGUGGCUGAGUCUGUCAAUUGAUGUUUUUCGUUUUGUUAUCUCCUUUAAUUUGUACUGCAAGGGUAUUCUAUAACUUAUCCUUUCAUGUGUUGAAUUCAACCUAAUUGUUUUUUCCAUUAUCUUCUUUAUCUCUGGCUAUCGAUGGGAUCCAAUCACCUUUCUUUCAA